GGAGAGAUACCGAAGCGGUUAAACGGGGCAGACUGUAAAUCUGCUGGCCUUAGGCCUACGGAGGUUCGAAUCCUCCUCUCUCCACCA
rnacentral:tRNA from 1 species